CGUGCAGGCGGUCGGGUAAGUCAGAUGUGAAAGCCUUCUGCUUAACAGAAGAAGUGCAUUUGAAACUGCUCGGCUAGAGUACGGGAGAGGAGAGUGGAAUUCCCGGUGUAGAGGUGAAAUUCGUAGAUAUCGGGAGGAACACCAGUGGCGAAGGCGGCUCUCUGGUCCGAUACUGACGCUGAGACGCGAAAGCGUGGGGAGCAAACAGGAUUAGAUACCCUGGUAGUCCACGCCGUAAACGAUGGGCACUAGGUGUAGGAGGUAUUGACCCCUUCUGUGCCGAAGCUAACGCAUUAAGUGCCCCGCCUGGGGAGUACGGCCGCAAGGCUAAA
rnacentral:rRNA from 1 species